rnacentral:rRNA from 1 species
CUACGGAGGAUCCGAGCGUUAUCCGGAUUUAUUGGGUUUAAAGGGUGCGCAGGCGGCCAUUUAAGUCAGCGGUUAAAUCGUGGGGCUCAACCCCAUUCUGCCGUUGAUACUGGGUGGCUUGAUUGCGGUCGAGGUUGGCGGAAUUCGUUGUGUAGCGGUGAAAUGCAUAGAUAUGACGAAGAACACCGAUUGCGUAGGCAGCUGACCAGACCGCAAAUGACGCUCAUGCACGAAAGUGCGGGGAUCGAACAGGAUUAGAUACCCUGGUAGUCCGCACAGUAAACGAUGAAUACUUGUUUUCGGCGAUAUAAUGUCGGAGGCAAAGCGAAAGCGAUAAGUAUUCCACCUGGGGAGUACGCCGGCAACGGUGAAACUCAAAUGAAUUGGCGGGG